rnacentral:lncRNA from 1 species
UUAUAAUUCACUUAGAUUUAGCCUAGAAGCACUUUAAAAAUUGAAAGAUAAAAAAAUUACUUUAAAAUAAAAAAUAAAAAAACCAAAAACAACAAUCCCUUUUAUUUAAAAAACUUAAAAUCAACCCUAUUACUCAAGUAAAAAAAUUAAUUUUUUCGCAUCAACUCCCUCUUUAUGAACAGAACAAACCCUAACACAAAUUAGUCAAAAUUGAAAGAAAAAUUCAGCAAAAAG